GAAUGAAUGAUGAUGUCUUGAUGUCUUGAUAACUGAAAAAUCAUGCUCACUAGGAUUACAUUGGCGCUC
ensembl:snoRNA SNORD115 Small nucleolar RNA SNORD115